CCGGCACGGGUGAGUAACACGUAUCCAACCUGCCGUCUACUCUUGGCCAGCCUUCUGAAAGGAAGGAUUAAUCCAGGAUGGCAUCAUGAGUUCACAUGUCCGCAUGAUUAAAGGUAUUUUCCGGUAGACGAUGGGGAUGCGUUCCAUUAGAUAGUAGGCGGGGUAACGGCCCACCUAGUCAACGAUGGAUAGGGGUUCUGAGAGGAAGGUCCCCCACAUUGGAACUGAGACACGGUCCAA
rnacentral:rRNA from 1 species